GACGAACGCUGGCGGCGUGCCUAAUACAUGCAAGUCGAACGAACCGCGACUAAGUGCUUGCACUAAGUCAAGGUGAGUGGCGAACGGGUGAGUAACACGUGGGUAACCUACCUCAUAGUGGGGGAUAACAGUCGGAAACGACUGCUAAUACCGCAUAGGACAUAGGAUCACAUGAUCCAGUGAGGAAAGGUGGCGCAAGCUAUCGCUAAGAGAUGGACCCGCGGUGCAUUAGCUAGUUGGUAGGGUAAAGGCCUACCAAGGCGAUGAUGCAUAGCCGACCUGAGAGGGUGAUCGGCCACAUUGGGACUGAGACACGGCCCAAACUCCUACGGGAGGCAGCAGUAGGGAAUCUUCCGCAAUGGACGCAAGUCUGACGGAGCAACGCCGCGUGAGUGAAGAAGGUCUUCGGAUCGUAAAGCUCUGUUGUUAGAGAAGAACAGCGCAUAGAGUAACUGCUAUGCGUGUGACGGUAGCUAACCAGAAAGCCACGGCUAACUACGUG
rnacentral:rRNA from 1 species